CCAAUAGCGUAUAUUAAAGUUGUUGCAGUUAAAAAGCUCGUAGUUGAAUUUCGGGAUUCUACCGUUGGUCAGGCUAUUGUCUGUACUGGCGUGUAGAAUUUCUACCUUCUGGGGAACUAUCAUGUUAUUAAUUUAGCGUGGUAGGAAACCAGGACCUUUACCUUGAAAAAAUUAGAGUGUUCAAAGCAGGCUUAUGUCUGAAUACAUUAGCAUGGAAUAAUAAAAUAGGACGGUGGUCCUGUUUUGUUGGUUUCUGAAUCACCGUAAUGAUUAAUAGGGAUAGUUGGGGGGAUUAGUAUUCAAUUGUGAGAGGUGAAAUUCUUGGAUUUAUUGAAGACUAACUACUGCGAAAGCAUUUGCCAAGGAUGUUGUCAUUAAUCAAGAACGAAAGUUAGGGGAUCGAAGACGAUCAGAUACCGUCGUAGUCUUAAACAUAAACUAUGCCGACUAGGGAGAGGACGAUGUUAAAUUUUCUUGACUCGUUCGGCGCCUUACG
rnacentral:rRNA from 1 species